rnacentral:rRNA from 1 species
AGAGUUUGAUCCUGGCUCAGGAUGAACGCUGGCGGCGUGCCUAACACAUGCAAGUCGAACGAAGCACGUCCCUCGAGGCCUUCGGGCGGAGAGGGGCAUGACUUAGUGGCGGACGGGUGAGUAACGCGUGGGUAACCUGCCCUAUACUGGGGGAUAACAGCUAGAAAUGGCUGCUAAUACCGCAUGAGCGCACAGUCCCGCAUGGGACAGUGUGGAAAACUCCGGUGGUAUAGGAUGGACCCGCGUCCGAUCAGCUGGUUGGUGGGGUAACGGCCCACCAAGGCGACGAUCGGUAGCCGACCUGAGAGGGUGACCGGCCACAUUGGGACUGAGACACGGCCCAAACUCCUACGGGAGGCAGCAGUGGGGGAUAUUGCACAAUGGGGGGAACCCUGAUGCAGCGACGCCGCGUGAGUGAAGGAGUACUCCGGUGUGUAAAGCUCUAUCAGCAGGGAAGAAGCAAGACGGUACCUGACCAAGAAGCCCCGGCUAACUACGUG